AGGACGAACGCUGGCGGCGUGCUUAAACACAUGCAAGUCGAGCGGAAAGGCCCUUCGGGGUACUCGAGCGGCGAACGGGUGAGUAACACGUGAGCAACCUGCCCUUAGCUUCGGGAUAGCUCCGGGAAACCGGAAUUAAAUACCGAAUAUGACUGCGGCUGACAUCAGCCACGGUGGAAAGUUUUUCGGCUAGGGAUGGACUCGCGGCCUAUCAGCUAGUUGGUGAGGUAACGGCCCACCAAGGCGACGACGGGUA
rnacentral:rRNA from 1 species